UUUUUAUAAAAUCAGGUAAUAAUAAAUAAUAAAACCAAUAUAUUAUGGCGGUUCUAAUAAUUUAGAGAAACUCGCUUUAUAAUCGAUAAUUCUCGAUAAAUUUCACUUUUUUUAUAAAUUUAUAUACCGCCGUUUAAGAUUUAACUUUCCUAUUAAAAUCAAAAUUUCUAUAUAUAUAUAAUAAAUCAGGUCAAGGUGUAAUUAAUUAAUAAGCAAAAGUAAGUUACAUUAAAACCAAUUUAAGGCCCUAAAAUUAAAAUUAAUUCAAAAAAGAAUUUAAACGUAAAUUUUAAUUAAAAAUUCAAAUAGAACUCACUAACUAGAACGC
rnacentral:rRNA from 1 species